rnacentral:rRNA from 1 species
UACGUAGGGUGCAAGCGUUAAUCGGAAUUACUGGGCGUAAAGCGUGCGCAGGCGGUUGUGUAAGCCAGAUGUGAAAUCCCCGGGCUCAACCUGGGAACUGCAUUUGUGACUGCACAGCUGGAGUGCGGCAGAGGGGGAUGGAAUUCCGCGUGUAGCAGUGAAAUGCGUAGAUAUGCGGAGGAACACCGAUGGCGAAGGCAAUCCCCUGGGCCUGCACUGACGCUCAUGCACGAAAGCGUGGGGAGCAAACAGG